AACGAACGCUGGCGGCAGGCCUAACACAUGCAAGUCGAGCGAGAUCUUCGGGUCCAGCGGCGGACGGGUGAGUAACGCGUGGGAAUAUGCCCUUCUCUGCGGAAUAGCCUCGGGAAACUGAGCGUAAUACCGCAUACGCCCUUUGGGGGAAAGAUUUAUCGGAGAAGGAUUAGCCCGCGUUGGAUUAGGUAGUUGGUGGGGUAACGGCCUACCAAGCCGACGAUCCAUAGCUGGUUUGAGAGGAUGAUCAGCCACACUGGGACUGAGACACGGCCCAGACUCCUACGGGAGGCAGCAGUGGGGAAUCUUAGACAAUGGGGGCAACCCUGAUCUAGCCAUGCCGCGUGAGUGAUGAAGGCCUUAGGGUUGUAAAGCUCUUUCAGCUGGGAAGAUAAUGACGGUACCAGCAGAAGAAGCCCCGGCUAACUCCGUG
rnacentral:rRNA from 1 species